UACGUAGGGUGCGAACGUUAUUCGGAAUCACUGGGCUUACAGGGUGCGUAGGCGGCUUGUCAAGUAGGGUGUGAAAGCCCCCGGCUCAACCGGGGAAUGGCGCCCUAAACUGGCGAGCUAGAGUGAGAUAGGGGUGUGUGGGACUUCCGGUGGAGCGGUGAAAUGUGUUGAUAUCGGAAGGAACGCCGGUGGCGAAAGCGACACACUGGAUCUUGUCUGACGCUGAGGCACGAAAGCCAGGGGAGCGAACGG
rnacentral:rRNA from 1 species